GCUUAUACUCGACCGUCAGCGGCAAGUGCGAUCGCGCGAACUUUCACGAGCGAGCGCGGUCACGAAGCCCUGACGAGUAGGAGGGUCGCGGCGGUGAGCGCAGAAGGGCUGGCCGCGAGGCCGUCUGGAGCCGCCGUCGGUGCAGAUCUUGGUGGUAGUAGCAAAUACUCCAGCGAGGCCCUGGAGGACUGACGUGGAGAAGGGUUUCGUGUGAACAGCCGUUGCACACGAGUCAGUCGAUCCUAAGCCCUAGGCGAAAGCCGAUGUCGAUGCGGUGUAGUUUUUACGAUAAACAGAUAGACGAAAUUCGACGACUACGACGAAAGAAACAUUAAUUCGUCAUCUAGUCGUCGUCAUAAGUCUAACAUUAAUAACGCGAGAGCACACACCCGUCGGGCGAAAGGGAAUCCGGUUCCUAUUCCGGAACCUGGCAGCGGAACCGUCAAAAAGUCGGGC
rnacentral:rRNA from 1 species